AAGCUGUCGUCCUUAUUAACAGCUUAUCAUUUGGUCGUGAAUAGUUUUAAGGACUAAUCGAUAAAUCCUCUCUUUAUCGAACUUAAAUAGUCCUAAGGACUUCAUCAUAACAACGGAGUUCAUUAGAAGAUGAAAGCUUAUGAUGAAAAUGCCAAAUAUAUUUUAUUUAUUAACAAAUCAAUUACAAUACUUGGUUGCUCAACCAUCAACAGCUUGACGAUUGGCUUUUUGGGACAUAUUUUCCAAUAGAGAGUCCAUUCAGGCCGAAGUAGUGGGAACCA
rnacentral:lncRNA from 1 species